rnacentral:rRNA from 1 species
AGUGAACGCUGGCGGUAGGCCUAACACAUGCAAGUCGAACGGCAGCACAGUAAGAGCUUGCUCUUACGGGUGGCGAGUGGCGGACGGGUGAGGAAUACAUCGGAAUCUACUUUUUCGUGGGGGAUAACGUAGGGAAACUUACGCUAAUACCGCAUACGACCUACGGGUGAAAGCAGGGGAUCUUCGGACCUUGCGCGAUUGAAUGAGCCGAUGUCGGAUUAGCUAGUUGGCUGGGUAAAGGCCCACCAAGGCGACGAUCCGUAGCUGGUCUGAGAGGAUGAUCAGCCACACUGGAACUGAGACACGGUCCAGACUCCUACGGGAGGCAGCAGUGGGGAAUAUUGGACAAUGGGCGCAAGCCUGAUCCAGCCAUACCGCGUGGGUGAAGAAGGACUUCGGGUUGUAAAGCCCUUUUGUUGGGAAAGAAAAGCAGCAGGUUAAUACCCCGCUGUUCUGACGGUACCCAAAGAAUAAGCACCGGCUAACUUCGUG